rnacentral:lncRNA from 1 species
GUGGAGGGCAGAAACUAAGAAGGGGCCAAGAGAAAGAGGACAAAGAUGGGGGACCCUGCCCCAGGCCCCAGAAGUGAUCAUUAACGUCUGGAAAGUAUGAGCUCAGGUGAAGAAAGUGAGGCCCAGAGAGGUUAAGAAAGUUGCCUCAAAGUCCUUCUGCCCCAAGGAUGCCUCGAGUUACCCCAUCAAGUAUAACAGAAUGUGACAAUCGAGGUGUUCUCAAGACUCAGAGCACAUGAUGGAGUGGAAGACACAGACCGAGAGGAGUCUGCAGCCCCCAGGCUCACCUCCUUCUGGGCAUGUG